CGAAGAACCUUACCAGGUCCUGACAUCCAUCUAAAGGUACAGAGAUGUACUGUGAGCUUGCUCGAGAUGAGACAGGUGGUGCAUGGUGUCGUCAGCUCGUGUCGUGAGAUGUUGGGUUAAGUCCCGCAACGAGCGCAACCCUUGCCUGCAGUUGCUAACGCGCAAAGGCGAGAACUCUGCAGGGACUGCCGGGGACAACUCGGAGGAAGGUGGGGACGACGUCAAAUCAUCAUGCCCCUUAUGACCUGGGCUACACACGUGCUACAAUGGCCGUAACAAAGAGGAGCGAACCCGCAAGGGGGAGCGGAUCUCAAAAAAGCGGUCUCAGUUCGGAUUGUGGGCUGCAACCCGCCCACAUGAAGUCGGAGUUGCUAGUAAUCGCGGAUCAGCAUGCCGCGGUGAAUACGUUCCCGGGCCUUGUACACACCGCCCGUCACACCAUGAGAGCCGGGAACACCCGAAGUCCGUAGUCUAACCAAUAUGGAGGACGCGGCCGAAGGUGGGUUGGUAAUUGGGGUGAAGUCGUAACAAGGUAACCUA
rnacentral:rRNA from 1 species